UCACCCACCUUUGCACAGAUAAGCAUGCCAGCUGUCAGAAACGGAGCUUUCAAAGGGCAUAUCCACAUUUCUGCAGCCGAUUCCAAACAAGACAAGAGUGGCCACUUGACUUAAGGGGAUUAUGGGAUGUUUCCAGAGGCCAAUCAGAGCACAGUAAUUCAACACCUUGUUCACACUGACCCUGGGGCGUUUCAGUUGAGACACACCAAGCAUUAUGCAUCUCGCGGAGGUGGAUUACCAGGAGCACUCCAGUUGCAGAGACCAGGCACUCUAAGGGUGGG